rnacentral:misc_RNA from 1 species
UGAAAGGCGAAACGUAAUGUGAAUCGCAACUAACAGUGAAUCAUCGAAUCUUUGAACGCAAGCCGCACUUUUUUUGAUUAGAAAUAAUCGGAGAAAGUAUCUACGUAUGAGUGUCAGCUAAUAUCCAUUUGGUUUGUGAGGGAAAUUAGUUUUUAACUUUUUUUAACUUGCAAAUACUCUUGUCUUACUGACAUAUCACAAAAGAUAUUGUUUUGGUCUGGCCUCAUAUGUAGAAGAUUACCCGCUGGAUUUAA